ensembl:lncRNA
GGGUUGCAAAGAGUCGGACACGACUGAGCGACUGAACUGAACUGAACUAGCAAAUCUUUAGAGGCUCCUCCAUAAAUUGAGCUGAGGAGUCAGAACCUGAGAAGUCACUUGAUCAUGGAACAGUGACAGUGACUGGACAGAGUCUUAGCCCUCAUCCAUUCACCUUUACCCACCCUUUCCUACUUAUAUUCCAUGAUAAUAUGAUCACCAAUAUGUGUAGGGACUAAGAUCCAUUAAAAAUUUUUAAUUUUGGAAGGGAAUUUCUUGGAAUCCUGCUCUAGAAAUGGAUUUUCUUUACAUCUGGAUUUUAGAGUUUAGGAAAUAAUCUUGUCUUCUUUUAAAAAAGAGACUGAAAGCACAAGGUAUAAGAAUGAGGAGUUAAGACUUAUCAGAGGAUAGAAUAAGUGGGGAGGAGUUGCUAAGACCUAAGAAGAGGUCAUGUGUGAUUUUGGCUUCUUUGAGGACAAAGGAGAGAACAAGAGAAUUCACAGAGAGAGCAUUUUCCAAACAAGGAAUGUCUUCUCAGUGCUGGAAUUGGUUCAGAGAAGAACUGGGAAGUAUGAAGAGGACUUUGCAUUUUAUUUUCCAGACAAUAGUCCUUGGAUACAAAUCCUUUAUCUUUGUCAACACAGAGUUUGCUUUAGUUUGGUGGUAUGAAUAAUUCAAAGGUUGCUCGUAGCAAUUGUUGUUGUUCAGUCACCCAGUCGUGUCUAACUCUGCGAUCUCAUGGACUACAGCAUGCCAGGCUUCCCUGUCCCUCUCUAUCUCUCAGUUUGCCCAAGUUCAUGUCCAUUGCAUGGGUAAUACCAUCCAGUCAUCUUAUCCUCUGACACCCUCUUCUCCUUCUGCCCUCAGUCUUUCCUAGCAUCAGGGACUUUUCCAAUGAGCUGGCCAUUUGCAUCAGAUGACCAAAAUACUGAAGCUUCAGCUUCAGUCCUUCCAAUGAGUAUUCCGAGUUGAUUCCUCUUGAGACUGACUGGCUUGAUCUCCUUGCUGUCCAAGGGACUCUCAGGAGUCUUCUCUAGCAACACAGUUUGAAUGCAUCAAUUCUUUGGUGCUCUGCCUUAUUUCUCUUAGCAAUACUUGGAUCCUAAAAAUGCCUAUAUAUCACAGCUUUUUAAAACUGGAAGUGAUUUUAAGAUCAUAAAAAUGAAAUUGCUUCACUUUAUAACUGUGGACACUGAGGCCUGUAAAAGUUACAUGACUUGCUUAAUGCUGGGGUAUGAAUGGCUGGGCCAUGACUAGAAACAAUGAAAUGGAUUUCUAGUUUACCACUAUUUCCAUUACCAUGCCUAUCCUACUUCAGAUGAUAACCUAAGCUUUUAAAACAACAGUAAUAACGAUAACAACUGUAUUUAUUAACAAAAACUUUAAUCUGAAUUUAUUAUACCAGAGCAAUUUAUUAUUUCCAAUGAGAAUUUAUAAUGGGCAUUUCAGUGACGCUGACACUAGCUUGCCAUGCCCUUCUGUACAAGCUCAAAAUGUAUCCAUCAAGCUUCCUAAUUUACUCUUUGACUGGUAAUAAUGAGUCCUGUUUAUUUUUAAAUACAUUUAAAAAUGUAUUUGCAGAGUUCUGUUGAAAUGAGAUAUUUUUUAAAAAGAAUUUCAACUGUCCUGGUGAAAAAAAAGACCCCAUGGAUUUUCAUCUCUUAGGGCAAGCAUUUGAGUAAUUAAUUUGAAAACUCUAUUACAUAUUUUUUCCUUUAUCUAAGAGGCAGACAAAAAUUCUGGUCUUUUUUCAUCUUGGUCCAAUUCUUGUGCUAAUUUCACUGUGAUUUCUGCUAUGCAUGUGAACUAUGACCAUAUACAAAAAUGGUCUUGGCUGUGGGCAAAGAUUAAUUGGUGAAAAAUGGGCCUGUUUGUGGGAUUUACCACACAGUAAGGUUUCACAUCUCCCUGGAAAAAUGUGGAAUUAGCUCUUUGAGAAAUGCAGGCCUGUCAUGAGGUGCAAGGGAGAGUUUUGGAGGAGGGAAACACAGUUCAGUCACUAAGAUAGUUAUGAUUGGUGAGAUUCCAGAGCAGUCCCUUCCAUACAGCAGUUUUUCCCGCUUUCGAGUCCGUGUUUCCCACAUGUAG